GAUGAUUUAAAAAAAUGAGGUAGCCUAAUGGUAGCAUUGCAGUCUGUCAGCACUACGACCUGAUUAAAAAAUGGACUGUUUUAAUUUCUUGUAAGAGGAUCAAACUUUUUUCUGAACUUUUAAGACUGACGAUAGUAAAGAUAUUAAGAAAAAAAAGUGUGUGGAAUGGAGGUGCAGCGAUCCCACCCCCACCAUACUAGAAGAGAGAAAAAAGGGUAUAACAUGCUAUUUUCCUGAUAGAUCACUCUUUGAAGAUAUGUACAUUACUCCACGUGGAAGAAUGCUUUGGACAUAUCUAGAUAAAAAAUGAAUUUUCUGGGAGAAGCUGUGAUUUGCACUUACCUCAGAGAGUGGCAG
rnacentral:lncRNA from 1 species